rnacentral:rRNA from 1 species
AGCGAACGCUGGCGGCAGGCCUAACACAUGCAAGUCGAACGGACCCUUCGGGGCUAGUGGCGGACGGGUGAGUAACACGUAGGAACGUGCCUUUAGGGUCGAAAUAGCUCCUGGAAACGGGUGGUAAUGCCGAAUGGGCCCUUCGGGGGAAAGAUUUAUCGCCUUUGGAGGGGCCCGCGUCUGAUUAGCUAGUUGGGGGGGUAAUGGCUCACCAAGGCGACGAUCAUUAGCUGGUCCGAGAGGAUGACCAGGCACAUUGGGACUGAGACACGGCCCAAACUCCUACGGGAGGCAGCAGUGGGGAAUCUUGCGAAAUGGGCGAAAGCCUGACGCAGCCAUGCCGCGUGGAUGAUGAAGGUGUUAGGAUUGUAAAAUCCUUUCACCGGUGAAGAUUAUGACUGUAGCCGGGGAAGAAGCCCCGGCUAACUGCGUGCCAGCCGCCGCAGUAA